GAUAAUUCCAUUCAGUUAGAGGUCAGAUUUGGCGUGUCGGCGGACCGGGCUAGUGUCGGAAAGGGACCCUUCAGGCGGCGGGAUGUCCUGGUCCGGCCUUCUCCGUGGCCUCGGCACGUCCCUAAACUGUGAUGAGCACACUGAGGCCCUGAGGUGAACAGUCGUGCUCGGCGGCGGUGGCACAUCACUAAGGAGAGACUUCUAGGAAUCCCCUUUGAGGAUUCUGCUGUCACUUGAGGCAUAAGGAUACAUGGAAAUGGACGGCCUCGCCCUGGUCCCGCGGCCCUGGGCCACGCGCCCCAUGGCCACCCUGAAUCAGAUGCACCGCCUGGGGCCCCCGAAGCAUCCGCCUGGGAAGAUGGGCCCCACUGCGGGCCGGCCGCAGCUGAAGGGCGUGGUCCUGCGCACGUUCAUCCGCAAGCCCAAGAAGCCCAACUCGGCCAACCGCAAGUGCUGCCGCGUGCGCCUCAGCACGGGCCGCGAGGCCGUGUGCUUCAUCCCUGGCGAGGGCCACAGCUUGCAGGAGCACCACGUCGUGCUGGUGCAGGGCGGCCGCACGCAGGACCUGCCUGGCGUCAAGCUCACCGUGGUGCGUGGCAAGUACGACUGUGGCCACGUGCAGAAGAAGAAGUGACCGCCCGGGACAUGGUGGCAGUUGGGUGUUCAUGCGGAAGAAGAACUUUCCCCGGGGGCGCCUGCAGUAUCCUUGGGAAGCCAGUCCGGCUGUAGAAGGAUCUGGGCCUGGUUCAAACCCUGGCCACCUCUUCCAUCAGGACCACCCUGAACCCACAGUGGGUGGGCCAUGAGCAAAAGGAGCCCCUCUCCCAACAGCCUUGGUGUCCAUGCAUGAAAUGCUGGCACCAGGGACUGCUUCUGCUGGGACAGGACGCUGUACUGCCAUCUGCUGAGGAGGGCUUGCAAUAAACAUGGACCCCCCCACACCCCAGGGUUGUGACCUGAACCCCACUGCAUGGUAUUCGCCCCCCUGUGUGGUCUUGGCAACAGACCUCCCCUCUGGCCUGUUUCCUCUUCCACAAGAAAACAGCUCCACUUACAGCACCGCCUGUGUUGGGUUUGGUGAAGAUUAAACUGGAUGCCUUACAUGCAUAACACAUGUAAUGGCUACUCCA